UACAGAGGGUGCGAGCGUUAAUCGGAAUUACUGGGCGUAAAGGGCGCGUAGGCGGCCUUCUAAGUCAGACGUGAAAUCCCUCGGCUCAACCGAGGAACUGCGUCUGAUACUGGAAGGCUUGAAUCCGGGAGAGGGAUGUGGAAUUCCAGGUGUAGCGGUGAAAUGCGUAGAUAUCUGGAGGAACACCGGUGGCGAAGGCGGCAUCCUGGACCGGUAUUGACGCUGAGGCGCGAAAGCUAGGGGAGCAAACGGG
rnacentral:rRNA from 1 species